GAUGAACGCUAGCUACAGGCUUAACACAUGCAAGUCGAGGGGCAGCAUGUCGGUUGCUUGCAACCGAUGAUGGCGACCGGCGCACGGGUGAGUAACGCGUAUCCAACCUACCCUUGUCCAUCGGAUAACCCGUCGAAAGGCGGCCUAACACGAUAUGCGGUUCACAGCAGGCAUCUAACGUGAACGAAAUGUGAAGGAGAAGGAUGGGGAUGCGUCUGAUUAGCUUGUUGCGGGGUAACGGCCCACCAAGGCAACGAUCAGUAGGGAUUCUGAGAGGAAGGUCCCCCACACUGGUACUGAGACACGGACCAGACUCCUACGGGAGCAGCAGUGAGGAAUAUUGGUCAAUGGGCGCAGGGCCUGAACCAGCCAAGUCGCGUGAGGGAA
rnacentral:rRNA from 1 species